rnacentral:rRNA from 2 species
UAUACAUGCAGUCGAGCGAAUCGAUGGGAGCUUGCUCCCUGAGAUUAGCGGCGGACGGGUGAGUAACACGUGGGCAACCUGCCUAUAAGACUGGGAUAACUUCGGGAAACCGGAGCUAAUACCGGAUACGUUCUUUUCUCGCAUGAGAGAAGAUGGAAAGACGGUUUACGCUGUCACUUAUAGAUGGGCCCGCGGCGCAUUAGCUAGUUGGUGAGGUAAUGGCUCACCAAGGCGACGAUGCGUAGCCGACCUGAGAGGGUGAUCGGCCACACUGGGACUGAGACACGGCCCAGACUCCUACGGGAGGCAGCAGUAGGGAAUCUUCCGCAAUGGACGAAAGUCUGACGGAGCAACGCCGCGUGAACGAAGAAGGCCUUCGGGUCGUAAAGUUCUGUUGUUAGGGAAGAACAAGUACCAGAGUAACUGCUGGUACCUUGACGGUACCUAACCAGAAAGCCACGGCUAACUACGUGCCAGCAGCCGCGGUAAUACGUAGGUGGCAAGCGUUGUCCGGAAUUAUUGGGCGUAAAGCGCGCGCAGGUGGUUCCUUAAGUCUGAUGUGAAAGCCCACGGCUCAACCGUGGAGGGUCAUUGGAAACUGGGGAACUUGAGUGCAGAAGAGGAAAGUGGAAUUCCAAGUGUAGCGGUGAAAUGCGUAGAGAUUUGGAGGAACACCAGUGGGCGAAGCGACUUUCUGGUCUGUAACUGACACUGAGGCGCGAAAGCGUGGG